UACGGAGGGUGCGAGCGUUGUCCGGAAUCAUUGGGCGUAAAGGGCGCGUAGGUGGCGGGACAAGCGUGCGGUGAAAGCUCGGGGCUCAACCCCGGGUCGGCCGUGCGAACUGUUUUGCUUGAGCACUGUAGAGGCAGGCGGAAUUCCGGGUGUAGCGGUGGAAUGCGUAGAGAUCCGGAAGAACACCGGUGGCGAAGGCGGCCUGCUGGGCAGUAGCUGACACUGAGGCGCGACAGCGUGGGGAGCAAACAG
rnacentral:rRNA from 1 species